ensembl:lncRNA
CCUGCUUUAGGCAUCUCAAAUUACAACAAACCAUUUACUUUGUAUGUAUACAAACAGAUUGGGGUAGCUUCAGCUGUUUUAACUCAAACUUUGGGACCUGCUCAGCACCUAGUUACUUAUUAUUAGGCCCAACUGGAUUCAAUAGCUUCAGGAGCACUACCAUGUCUUAGAGGCAUAGUUGCCACAGAUUUGCUAGUGACUAAAUCUGCUGAUUUAAUAUUGGGAUGCCUUUUAACCAUAAUGUGCACACAUGAAGUUGAGGCAUUGUUGCUACAACAUAGAAUACAGGCAUUUUCUGAUCAGAGAAUUACAAGAUAUGAGGUAACCUUGUUAAAUAAUGAAAAUAUUACAUUAAAAUUCUAUGCAGUUCUAAAUCCUGCAACCUUGCUUCUUGAUUUACCACUUUCAGGAGAACCUUUGGACAGUUGUGAAUCUUUGGGAAAGAUCAGACCAGGAAAUUAUAUUUCCCAUAUGCUUCAAAAAUCUAGUCCCUUUUAUGUAUGUCAUACUGGAAAUUUACUUUCAUCCUGGCUGCUGAGUGGGUAAGUACAUGAUUGCUAUUACAGGCUUAUCAGACAUAAAUCACUUUAAUUGGGCCCUGAUUCAAGGACCUGUUAUAAUCUUAGUUUUCCUUCCUUAGGAUUUUUACAUAUAAGACAGAUAUUCUAUAUUUCAUCCAGUAGUUACUUUUUUCUCUUUUAUUUACAUUUUGUGAUGUUUUUUAUUUUUAUUUUUUGGCAAAUGAUUCAUAUACCUUAUAACUCAGCUAUGUAUCCCUGUGUGAUCUCUGUAUUUGUCAAUAUCCUCCUCAGGGAGAAAUGUAUUAUUAUUCUAUUUUGCAAACUUUAAUUUCUUUUGAAAGUAAUUUUAGAAUAAGACAUGUUCUACAUCCCAGAAUCUGGAAAAGUGAAUUGCUUACAGAAGGUGCCAUGAAUAUGCCUGCAGAAACCACAUAUUGCUCCAAAAGAUUCUGAGUGAACUUUUGGAUAUGCUGAAUUGAACUUUGGGAGGUUGAAUGUAUUUGUUUUGAAUGUAUACUUUUAUACCAAAGGGGACUUUUCCUUAAUUGGUUUUGUUCUUUUUCCCUUUCUUUCCCUCUUAUCCCCCAAUUUUUGUAAUUUCCCCUUAGAAACUACAAUACUAUAUGUACCUUUAGUUAAAAAUCUUUAGAGUUAUAAGUUGGUUAUGUUUAAAAUGAUCUAUUGAGGAGACUGGUCUCCCAAUGGAUCCCAGGUGGGGGAGGGGUUAAAAAUUGUACCCUGGGAACUACAUCUCCCAGAAUUCUCUACUUUUCUCAGGGUUCCCUUUUCUGACAUCUUGGAGUGGGUUGGACUAUAAAAGGGCUGAUCCCACUCCAGAAGGGGGUCUUUGCUAGGGCUCAAGUUGGCAGGUUACUGGGGCUCUGGCUCUUGUCUCUGCUCGCGUCCUUUUUCUCUCUCUUAUCCCUUAUUUUUAUCCUUACAAUACCAAGAGUGACUCAUAUGUCCUUGUUCCUUUCAUCAAAGUUGGGAGUGACAUGGUCUCAAGGAGAAACUUAACCAAGUAGAUCCCAAAUUAAGUGGUUUCCCUCAUCCAGAUUGCUAGAGGCAGCUUGAAUCUCAUGAUUAGACCAUGUUUUCAAUUUUUAAUUCUCCUCCCUAAACAUAAGGAAUUGAGAACUCUUAGCCCUUCUCCUCAUUAAAUAUCCAACAAUCAGAGUUGCCUUUCACUUGUCAGGAGACACCCAUAUUUGAGGGUUUAAACUGCCCCAGAACACUUUGCUGGUAUCUUUGGUCACCAGGAGAGAUAACUGACCUCAAUUUAGUAUUUUCCAGCCUGAAUAAUAAAUUUAUUUUUCAUACCA